rnacentral:rRNA from 1 species
UACAGAGGGGGCAAGCGUUGCUCGGAAUCACUGGGCGUAAAGGGUGCGUAGGCGGGUCUUUAAGUCAGGGGUGAAAUCCUGGAGCUCAACUCCAGAACUGCCUUUGAUACUGAGGAUCUUGAGUUCGGGAGAGGUGAGUGGAACUGCGAGUGUAGAGGUGAAAUUCGUAGAUAUUCGCAAGAACACCAGUGGCGAAGGCGGCUCACUGGUCCGGUACUGACGCUGAGGUGCGAAAGCGUGGGGAGCAAACAGG